rnacentral:misc_RNA from 1 species
GAAAUGCGAUAAGUAAUGUGAAUUGCAGAAUUCAGUGAAUCAUCGAAUCUUUGAACGCACAUUGCGCCCGCCAGUAUUCUGGCGGGCAUGCCUGUCCGAGCGUCAUUUCAACCAUCAAGCCCCCGGGCUUGUGUUGGGGGCCUGCGGCUGCCCGCAGGCCCUGAAAACCAGUGGCGGGCUCGCUGUCACCCCGCGCGUAGUAGCAAUCACCUCGCUCAGGGCGUGCUGCGGGUUCCGGCCGUUAAACAGCCUUACAAAACCCAAGGUUGACCUCGGAUCAGGUAGGAAGACCCGCUGAACUUAAGC